UACGGGGGGGGCAAGCGUUGUUCGGAAUUACUGGGCGUAAAGGGCUCGUAGGUGGCCAACUAAGUCAGACGUGAAAUCCCUCGGCUUAACCGGGGAACUGCGUCUGAUACUGGAUGGCUUGAGGUUGGGAGAGGGAUGCGGAAUUCCAGGUGUAGCGGUGAAAUGCGUAGAUAUCUGGAGGAACACCGGUGGCGAAGGCGGCAUCCUGGACCAACACUGACGCUGAGUGAGCGAAAGCCAGGGGAGCAAGCGGG
rnacentral:rRNA from 1 species